rnacentral:rRNA from 1 species
CCUACGGGAGGCAGCAGUGGGGAAUAUUGGGCAAUGGGCGCAAGCCUGACCCAGCAACGCCGCGUGAAGGAAGAAGGCUUUCGGGUUGUAAACUUCUUUUGACAGGGAAGAGUAGAAGACGGUACCUGUCGAAUAAGCCACGGCUAACUACGUGCCAGCAGCCGCGGUAAUACGUAGGUGGCAAGCGUUGUCCGGAUUUACUGGGUGUAAAGGGCGUGUAGCCGGGUUGACAAGUCAGAUGUGAAAUCCUGCGGCUUAACCGCAGAACUGCAUUUGAAACUGUUGAUCUUGAGUACUGGAGAGGCAGACGGAAUUCCUAGGGGAGGGGGGAAAUGGGGAGAAAUUAGGAGGAGCACCAGGGGCGAAGGCGGUCUGGUGGACAGCAAAUGAGGGGGAGGCGCGAAGGCGGGGGGAGAAAACAGGAUUAGAUACCCGGGUAGUC